rnacentral:tRNA from 1 species
GGGGCCGUAGUUCAGUUGGGAGAACGUUUGACUGGCAGUCAAAAGGUCACCGGUUCGAUCCCGGUCGGCUCCA